CUUGUUUUCUCCUUUCUUUUCUUUGUAUAUCUUGUCCUCUCUUCCUCUCGCUCCCUAUCCCUAUUCCCCCCCCUCUCUCUCUCUUUCUCGUUGUCUGAAUCAGUGUUGCCAUGGAAUACUGGAGCGAUACACCUGUCCGGGCUGUUGCCACACCACUCCACUGCGAUGCAUGCAAGAGUGGUCCGGAGGUGUCAAAAGGCCAGGGAUCGUGACUUUUAAGGUGACCCGGAGCUCUCUGACAAUGAGGGACCCCCAUUCGCUAUGGUAACGAGUUCUGGUGGAUGAACCUUCUGGAUGGAUUGGGGGGUGAGUGGAUUAGCUUCACUGCUGUUUGUUUACGGCACACUUCUAUUGUUAUGGCCGUUUACAUAUGUAUAUGUUUCAGGCCCGACCGAGGGACAGAGAACUGCCCAUAGUAGUCCUCCUCCAACUCAGCUGCCAGCCCGUCAUUGGCUUUUAAGUCAUGCUUGGCUUCAAAAGAGAGAGAGUAUCACCGCUGCCAAUACAAUCUCCAUGCUCGGUGUUACUGUGGAUUGUGGUUUGGGUAACCCUUUAAUAAGAUUCUGGGUUGUGUUCAUUGGAGCACACUGUUUUAAAAUGUUUCACGACGGAAAAUGAAAAUUACUGUUUCUUAUUGAAUUAGAUAGAUAAUACCUUCAUGUUUCACUCUGUUUUGGAGUGUGUUCCUACUGAACACGACCCAGGUAUGAGUCAUUUGACCCAGGUAUGAGUCAUUUCAUCCGAUCAGUGGCCACAUCUGGUGAGAUGAGGUCACAGUGGCCAGGUUCAUGUUCAUUAGGCACCAAGUGGAAAUAACUAAAACAGAGAGGGACUACCUGGACUAAACACAUUUUGUUUCAAAAUGUUUAAAACGUUUUAUAUUGUGUGUUUUAAUGAACAUGACCCAUGUGUGGGCGCUUUUGGGACAGAUUGGGAUUCAUUGAAUCGAAGGGAACGAUCUCCUGAGAAAGACAAGGGCAUUGUAAGUGUGUGUGUGUGUGUGUGUGUGUGUGUGUGUGUGUGUGUGUGUGUGUGUGUGUGUGUGUGUGUGUGUGUGUGUGUGUGUGUGUGUGUGUGUGUGUGUGUGUGUGUGUGUGUGUGUGUGUGACAUGGGGCUCCAUGGAUAGACUGGGU
rnacentral:lncRNA from 1 species